rnacentral:lncRNA from 12 species
GGCCACCGGCCUGAGCAGGAGCCGCGUCUGUGCAGCCUUGGGUGCGCCCAGCCCCGUGGCAGCAGCGUCCGUGGGGGAUCGAGCAUCCUGCAAGCACGUCCAAGGCCGGGCAGAGGCCCCAGCCCCAUCCCUGAGUCCGCAGCGCACCCGUCCACAGGCCGUGCCACGCAGGUGCCCGGGGCAGGCCUCGCACCCCGGGGUGAGGAAGCAAGAUGCACAAAGACUUCCGCUCCCCGCAGGUUUUCGGGGCGCACCGCCUGUGCCCCAGCCCACCUGCCACCCAGUGACCUGCCCCCACUUUGCAGCCCGGCGGGCACAGGCCUUCCUCCAGGUGACGGCGUCUCCCAUGUCGCCUGUUUCCAACCACCCAACGUGGGGAAACCGCGCGGUCGGGUUCUUGGUGCCACGGCCGCACCCCGAAGCCCUGGUGUGAUGUGUGACCCUGCGGCGUGGGGACCGGCUCCUGCCACCCGACGGCAUCGGCUCUGGUGGAGUCGCGGGUGUCAUCUGAUCGGCCCACGCUUGGCGUGGCUCUGCCCUCGCGGGAAGCCGCAGAGCAAACGGGAGGGCAAGUCCUUCAGGGCGAGUCAGCGGGAGCCCCGCGGUGGGGAGGCGUCAGCGACGUGGCCGCGCUCACCCUGAGGAACACGCUUGGAUGCAGGAGUCGCAGGGAGGUUGUCCACAGACGUGUCUGGAGCUUUGUAAGAAUCACGAGAGGUUUGGAAGUGAGGGCUGAGUGCAGGGCUCACGUGGGCGCCGGGCGGGGAGCGGGCGGCCGUCCCCCGGAGGGGUCCCGCAUGGCCACAAACCGCCGAGGGAACGUCUUCCCUGGCGCACGAGGUGGAGAAAGCGCGGAGCCCGCGCCGUGGGGCGCUGGGGCUGGGCCCGGGUGGAGCUCUGAGCACGGCUCUGCGUCCAGGCCGCCCCGGGCCCCGCGCGAGGCUCCUGCGGGGCCGCUCUCCCCACCGGCCACGGGCGCCAGGGCUCUGUCAGGGGUAAACUGAGGCUCUCCUCGCUGGCGGAGCCACUCCUUCAGCUCCGGUUUUCCGACCCGGCGGCGGGUGCCCUCCCAAACGCUUGCCGCGUGGCGGCGAACACAGCUCACAGGGGGACGGGCCACCUACCGCAUCAGGGCCCGGGACGUGCUCAGAAGGACAUGAGCAAGGUGGCCUGAGAGGUCGGGAGCAGGGGAGCGAGCGGAGGGGGGGU